AAUGUCGAAUUUAUUCGUGCAUACGCUGUCAUAAGCUAUACGCGGAACAUGUUAAUAACACACAGGUGUCCCACGUAUGUGCAUGUACACGCGAUGUAACCAAGCGUGUAUACGAAGCGAUCACACUCCUCAGCCGACGUUAAUUAUCUCUGCGCUUCCGGAAGUUGUCUCUAAUACUCCCUGACACUCCAUUGAGUAUAUUGAUUACUAAUGUUUCGUGGCUGCAGCAUGAUGCAAGUGGGUCAAGCUUUCCUACGAGCUCAAAUAUGACAAACAGUACCUUGACUCGGAAGAUUCCUGGAAAUAGGAUUUAUGGAUAUCGAGAUGCACGAUCCGACGCAGUUGGGAAGUUAAAAGCAAAAUUUUUGCAAAAGUGUUUGUGUGCGUCGCAAAUGUUAUGAAACAACGCGUGCAGUGCAGAAUACUGAAACUUUUUAGAACAUUGCACGUUGCGAUAUUAUCAGAAUCUAUUCAAUGUGGAGCGUUAGAAAUUUUAUCUCCGGAACUAUUACGAGAAUUAGGUCGUUCUAUUUUUAAAACGAAAUGACGUAUCGACAAGAAACUCGGCAGAACGCAUCGCGCCGUCUAAUAAAUCUACUCAUUCUGCGUCGGUGGAGGUCCAUGAAAAAUGAUAUGUAUUCUAUCCAUCUCGUCAUCCUCGCGCGGAUAAUAUUAACGCGGCAUGAGGAGAGAGAGAGAGAGA